rnacentral:rRNA from 1 species
GUUUGAUCCUGGCUCAGGAUGAACGCUAGCUACAGGCUUAACACAUGCAAGUCGAGGGGCAGCAUGAACUUAGCUUGCUAAGUUUGAUGGCGACCGGCGCACGGGUGAGUAACACGUAUCCAACCUGCCGAUGACUCGGGGAUAGCCUUUCGAAAGAAAGAUUAAUACCCGAUGGCAUAGUUCUUCCGCAUGGUAGAACUAUUAAAGAAUUUCGGUCAUCGAUGGGGAUGCGUUCCAUUAGGUUGUUGGCGGGGUAACGGCCCACCAAGCCUUCGAUGGAUAGGGGUUCUGAGAGGAAGGUCCCCCACAUUGGAACUGAGACACGGUCCAAACUCCUACGGGAGGCAGCAGUGAGGAAUAUUGGUCAAUGGACGAGAGUCUGAACCAGCCAAGUAGCGUGAAGGAUGACUGCCCUAUGGGUUGUAAACUUCUUUUAUACGGGAAUAAAGUGAGGCACGUGUGCCUUUUUGUAUGUACCGUAUGAAUAAGGAUCGGCUAACUCCGUGCCAGCAGCCGCGGUAAUACGGAGGAUCCGAGCGUUAUCCGGAUUUAUUGGGUUUAAAGGGAGCGUAGAUGGAUGUUUAAGUCAGUUGUGAAAGUUUGCGGCUCAACCGUAAAAUUGCAGUUGAUACUGGAUAUCUUGAGUGCAGUUGAGGCAGGCGGAAUUCGUGGUGUAGCGGUGAAAUGCUUAGAUAUCACGAAGAACUCCGAUUGCGAAGGCAGCUUGCUGGACUGUAACUGACGCUGAUGCUCGAAAGUGUGGGUAUCAAACAGGAUUAGAUACCCUGGUAGUCCACACAGUAAACGAUGAAUACUCGCUGUUUGCGAUAUACAGUAAGCGGCCAAGCGAAAGCGUUAAGUAUUCCACCUGGGGAGUACGCCGGCAACGGUGAAACUCAAAGGAAUUGACGGGGGCCCGCACAAGCGGAGGAACAUGUGGUUUAAUUCGAUGAUACGCGAGGAACCUUACCCGGGCUUAAAUUGCAGAUGAAUUACGGUGAAAGCCGUAAGCCGCAAGGCAUCUGUGAAGGUGCUGCAUGGUUGUCGUCAGCUCGUGCCGUGAGGUGUCGGCUUAAGUGCCAUAACGAGCGCAACCCUU